CAAAGGGAUUACCGGUGGCGGAUGGGCAUGCGGCGCAUUAGCUAGUCGGCGGGGUAACGGCCCACCGAGGCGACGAUGCGUAGGGGUUCUGAGAGGAGGGUCCCCCACACUGGUACUGAGACACGGACCAGACUCCUACGGGAGGCAGCAGUGAGGAAUAUUGGUCAAUGGGCGCGAGCCUGAACCAGCCAAGUCGCGUGAGGGAUGGCGGUCCUACGGAUUGUAAACCUCUUUUGCCGGGGAGCAAGCGUGCGUUCGUGAACGCGCGUCGAGAGUACCCGGAGAAAAAGCAUCGGCUAACUCCGUGCCAGCAGCCGCGGUAAUACGGAGGAUGCGAGCGUUAUCCGGAUUUAUUGGGUUUAAAGGGUGCGUAGGCGGGAUGCCAAGUCAGCGGUAAAAAUGCGGUGCUCAACGCCGUCGAGCCGUUGAAACUGGCGUUCUUGAGUGGGCGAGAAGUAUGCGGAAUGCGUGGUGUAGCGGUGAAAUGCAUAGAUAUCACGCAGAACUCCGAUUGCGAAGGCAGCAUACCGGCGCCCUACUGACGCUGAGGCACGAAAGCGUGGGUAUCGAACAGGAUUAGAUACCCUGGUAGUCCACGCAGUAAACGAUGAAUGCUAACUGUCCGGUGCGAGUGAGCGCUGG
rnacentral:rRNA from 1 species